GACGAACGCUGGCGGCGUGCUUAACACAUGCAAGUCGAACGGAAAGGCCCUGCUUUUGUGGGGUGCUCGAGUGGCGAACGGGUGAGUAACACGUGAGUAACCUGCCCUGGACUUUGGGAUAACUUCAGGAAACUGGGGCUAAUACCGGAUAGGAGCUCCUGCUGCAUGGUGGGGGUUGGAAAGUUUCGGCGGUUGGGGAUGGACUCCCGGCUUAUCAGCUUGUUGGUUGGGUAGUGGCUUACCAAGGCUUUGACGGGUAGCCGGCCUGAGAGGGUGACCGGCCACAUUGGGCCUGAGAGACGGCCCAGACUCCUACGGGGGGCAGCAGGGGGGAAUAUUGCACAAUGGGCGGAAGCCUGAUGCAGCAACGCCGCGUGCGGGAUGACGGCCUUCGGGUUGUAAACCGCUUUCGCCUGUGACGAAGCGUGAGUGACGGUAAUGGGUAAAGAAGCACCGGCUAACUACGUG
rnacentral:rRNA from 1 species